rnacentral:lncRNA from 1 species
UGGCUAGGCGUGCGCGCUUGGUAUUGUUGUGUAGCCGGAGUUCGACCGCGCGUGAGUGUGUGCACGGUAAUACUGCACGUUUCGGGAUGCCGACCUGCUGUGCCAGCGGUUGCAAAAGCAGGUGCAGCAGAGGAAAGAAGCUAUUUUCGCUUCCGCGAGGAAAAGACAAUGCCGCUCGGCAAGAAGUGUGGCUCUAGCGUAUCGGAAGGACUGACUUGGACCCUGUAUCGUCGCGGCUUUGUGAGGACCACUUCACUGCGGACCAAUUUGAGCCGAUACUGCUGCGCAAGUUUGGUACUAAAAAGUUGAAGAGAGACGCGGCGCCUACGAUCUUCAGUCAAGAGCAUUUGCAAACGUCAGAAUGCAAUGAUUCAGCCCGCUCAUCUUGUGGCCUUGAUCUACUACUAACAGCAGCUGCUCUUGUUGAUGAAGCCAAAGAGACACACUGCCCAUCAGCUACGAAUGUGCUUCUGACACCAGCUGCUGUUGAUGGCUAUGGAGCCAACAGUGAUGCCACUCAAGCAGGGUUCACAAGGUCACACUGCCACUGAUUCAGCACCAUCGGAUCUUCCAGAAG